rnacentral:misc_RNA from 1 species
CAACCCUCAAGCUCAGCUUGGUGUUGGGGCCCUACGCCUGUAGGCCCUGAAAAGCAGUGGCGGACCCGCCGAAGCCUUCUUUGCGCAGUAAUACAUCUCGCACUGGGGCCCGGUGGCUUCUCGCCGUAAAAAGCACCAUAUUUUUACAA